AAAAUUUAUCGUUAUCAAAAUUUCUGACUCUUACCGAGAUAAUUGAUCCCAUGUCAAUAAAUUUGAUAAAAAAAAUGAAAAGAUGUGGGAGGUUGGCAGCGUUCAUGUCCCUUUAAGAAGCUGCACCACCUUGAGUCACGUAAAAAAAAGUGACUCAACGUAAUUCAUGCGACAGCCCUAUCUAGUGGACAACUUUUGUUUCUGCGCACACCUGUAGUUAUCGUCCAUUUAUCGUUACCGAGGUGAAAUCCUCAAUAUAUCGUGAUAUGGAUUUUAGGCCAAAUCGCCCAGCCCUAACCUCCUCCCGGUUGGACGUGCCUGGAAAACCUCACCAGGGAGGCGUUCAGGAGGCAUCCUGACCAGGUGCCCAAGCCACCUCAACUGGUUCCUCUCGACAUGGAGGAGCAGCGGGUCUACUCCGAGCCCCUCUAGGAUGACCAAGCAUCUCACCCUAUCUCUAAGGGAAACCCCAGCCGCCCUGCGGAGAAAACUAAUUCCUGCGAUCUUGUUCUUUCGGUCACCACCUAAAGCUCGUGGCCAUAGGUGACCAAAAACAAAAUACCUGAAUCUAAAUUAGCUGUGAAUCCCAGAAGUAAGCUGCUAGAAACAGCCACUUAUUCCCAGUGUUGCUUGAGGAAAUGAGCACACUCUAAUAUAUAUAUUACAAGUAAAAUAAACCUGAUGUUUUGCCCAUAUUCUUCCUCUAGUUUGGAACCAGAUCUCGGUUCUGUUUGAAUCAUUUUCUUUCCAUGAACAAAUGAGCUGAAACUUUGAAAAUGUUCGAGAACCAAACAUUCCAGCGAGACCAACACGUUUUUUCCACUUCAGACAACAAACAAAAACAAUUAUCUGUGGAAAAUUCAGGCUGCAUGUUGAAGAAGCUCACCAGAUUAAAUGCUUGGUUUAUAUUUUCUGUUGCCACGAUUAGCUUUGCUUCCAAGUCACGAAGAUUAAAUUACAACUAACGAAGAAACCUUUAUUUAAUUCCCACACUGAAUCACACUUUCGACGCCUCUUGGACAAACAGACCAAUCCUGCGCACAACAACACUUUCUGCACCAACAUGGACACAAACUGCCUGGGGGUUGUGCGAAUUCUGACCUGUUUUAUGGAAACAAAGGGAUCAAAUUAAAAUGUUCCCACUGAGUGAGCAGCGAACACAAAUAUGCCCCAUGGACGGGCAGCACCUGCUGCACGGCUUCUGACAACGGAAGGAAUGGAAAUCUGGCCGUUUAAGACUUUUUCUGAGCUCUGUAAGAAAACUGAUUCAUCAUAUUUUGCUAAUUUUACUCUUUUUCUUCCAUCCAGUCUUUUUGGGCUAAAUCAAUAAAUUCAAGAAACUAAAGUUACAACUGAUAUAUUUUAAACUUAAAGGUGUCCGGCAGUUUGCUUCGUUUGCUCAGACUGUUUAUUUAAAAGUUUAAAGUCGUUGUUUAGCAGGAAAGGACUUCCUGUCAGAUCUUACACUCGAUAAAAUCACGAAGCCAAAGAGCAGAGCUUCGAAAACAAGCAGGAAAAAAAGUGUUUUCACAGCUUUUCCAUGUGGCCUGCAUUAUUGAUGGACUUAGCCUAAUCCACAGUGAAAACACGCAGGGUCACAUCAUGACACGGGCCAUGUUUUUGGAGAGGUGGGGACACACACACUAUCAUGAGAAUUUAUGGUGUGGAUGUCGGCUCUUGAGCAUAUGUUCAAACAGCACGCCCAAGAGAUUGUUGGACAGAACACAGAGCCACUUCUCUCCAACAUGGCGGGUGGCGACGAUCAUACCCUUGAGGCAAUGUGGCUUCUGGUUCUGGCCAGAUCAGAUAGGAAGAUAAAAUCCUGGUGGCUGCUGUUUAGGUUUAGGCAUACGGGGAAUAUGAGGAUCAGAUUCAGCUCUGAUUUAAAAAAUGGAUUCUGUCUGGUAGAAGUUAUGUUACAUGGUUUACUUUGUUUUACGCAUUCUUCUCAAGUGAUCUAAUCAAGUGUACCGGCUCUGAUUAACAGAAAAUGGGCCUGAAUGCAACCCAGGGUGAUAAAGAACACAUUAAAGGUGCACAAUGUAAGAAUGAAGUAAGAAUGACAUAUUGUGGUCAAAUGUGGGUACUGCAGCCCAUUUUCAAAACAAGUGACUAAUAAAACGAGUUUCAUGGCUGCUGCCAGUAACGGAUCAGAGCCAUAAGAGUCUGGAUGAAGACUGAAGAUGAGUCAAAUACAGUAAGCUGAAGAGUAGAUAAAUACAUUUAACUGUUUCAUCUAGUCAUUGGCGGUUCUAGGGGCGGGGCCACAGGGGCACUGGCCCCUGCUGAAAUAUGAUUGGCCCCUGUAGUGCCCCUGUCCUGUCACUCAUCUGUCCUUUGUGCGGUGAUGAGAUUAUAGGUGGAUGCAAUUCCGAGUCCAAACACUAGUGGCCGUGUGGCGCUAAGGAGCAAAAUAGUGUGUGAAAUCCAACAGAAGAAGAUUUGAAAGAUUCCAAGAAGGGAGAACUUUUCAACCGACAUCGGAUCUGAUGAGAGUCCACGUUAUGAGGAGUUUGUUGGUAAGUCACGAAUCACUGUUUACUCACAGUUGCCAUGUAAGUCAAGUCUGACAAUAAGUCCAAUGGAAAGCAAUGCCGACAUUAGUUAAAGGUAAUGUUAAAAAGGGCUUGUGAAAAAACGUUAGCCCUUGCUAAUCCAUGUACUUCUUUUGUAAUCUGCAUUUUGUGUGUUAAUAGUUGGCACUGUCUGAUAGAGAACAUGAAAAGAAAGGGUCAGAUACAGGCGGGAAUUCUGCAGUUUUUUCCCAAGAGAGUGAGUGUGUCAGCUGGUGAAAACGAGCUUGGAGAAAUCAGAGAGAGAGCAGCAGGAGGCAGUAGACCAGAGGCUGGAACAGGGCAAGGGACCUCCAUUCCCCCUUUAUCAGCUGCAAACUGGGACAAGACUCUCUCCAAUUCAGACAACCAGAGUGAAGUUAAUGACUCAACCUUCCAUCCUGCUGGGCCACCAGAGUCACCAAUCAAUGCUAAUCCUGCAGGAUCAAAUGACAUCUUCCAGUGUGAUGCACAGAAUCCUGCGCAGACAUCAGAACGGUGUUCUGUUCCAGUAGGACCUGGUGGUGUGCUUCUCAUUUUGUAAAGGCUCUUUAAAUUUAAUUGAAUUUUGCAGUCAGUCACUUGCAGAUUCUGAAUGCCAUGAAUGUUAAAGGUUGAGAGAUAUAAGCAACUGACUCAGACUUAUUUAAUUGACUUCCCACCAGACAUUUCCCAGUCAAGAGCAGAGGGUCCUGUGAUAUUCUUCUGGUGUUUUUUCCACACACAAACAUAUUUUAACCUGAUAUUUGUGGCUUUGUAAAAUAAAUUGAAUGCUAAAAUUUCUCAAAUGCUGUGUGUGGUUGUAUUUUGUCAAUGUACAGUAAAAAUUGAUGUACAAUUGCAUUGAUGUUUUUCAACAUGGUGUUGGGGUAAACUGUAUCUACCAUACAAAACUGGGAAUAGUAUGCAAGUAUGUUGGACUGUUCGUGGCCCCUCUAUAAAUAUUGUGGCCCCUUGAUGGCCCCACCCUCAGAAAAAUCCUAGAUCCGCCACUGCAUCUAGUUGUUGGUCAUUGAAAAAGUAGCUUGACAAUUUUUAGAGCAAACUUAUUUUUUUCUUUUUCACUGUUAGCAUUGUUAGCUCAACGUUAGCCUCUAGCCUUCUCUACCCAAAUUUUAGAGUAAAACAAAAAGAUGUCGUGGCUUCUUAAGGGUACAAUAACUUCUGGGCUGCUAAUUUUAACGGCUAACGUACUUAACUCGGCUGAUGUUGAUUAAUAACUCAUUAACUGCCAUUGACGAGAAAAAACGGCAUUUGAAAUCCAACCGUUCACUGCCAAUGAUGGCUAAAUUCGUCAUUUGCAUUUUUUUACUGUGUGGGCGUUGGAACGAGCCCCCGCACCGUGAGAACAAACAUCCCAGCUCUAAAGCCGAUCUUCGUCCGCAUAGGUCACACGUCACGCGUGAUCAGGAAGCAGAAAAUCCAUGUGUUAGGAGAUCGUUUUGGGCCGCUGCUGUAAAAAAAAUGAGGCGCAAACGGGAAAAGUUUCUGCUGAUAACAAUUCAACAACGGAUUAUGAAAGAACGGAUAACGCUCGAAACGUGCGGAUUCUUCCUGAUGUAAGAGGUGAGUCUCCGCUUUGUUUUGUUAGUUUUGGCACUGACAUCAUCCUAGCGCGCAACGUUCUGUGAAUCUUAAAAAAACUGUAAAAACGCAAAAACCGCUGGCAGCGAAGAGUUUUACCGAUCAGGAAACGGCUGGCAGUGAAUUCAAUUCAAUUCAAUUCAAUUCAAAAAUACUUUAUUAAUCCCAGAGGGAAAUUGAUUAAACAUAUAGUCGACAGAGCAACUCCAACAUGCAGCCACCCAGAGCAGCGCAGAAUGAGUUAAUGUCAGCGCAGACUUGGCAACCCAAGAGGUAACAACUAUAACCUUUUAUCAAUUUUUUUUAUGUGGUAUAUCAAUGUAAUACAGGGUAUAUACAGCAAUCCUUAAGUAAAAUUUACUACUUUUUAAUACCUUUUUUACUACCUUCAGAAUUUUUUUAAAACCAUCACAACACUAAAUUGCAAGUGUUAAUCAGCGACCUAUUUACACAUAUUUUAACAUAUAUAACAUACAAAAAGAAUAGACUUAGAGACUCACUGAUGUUGACAACGUAUUGCGCAUAUUUAUUUUACUUAGAAAAUAAGCCAGGCACUUCUGUUCAGCGGUUCAGACAGUUGACCACGGGGCCUGAAAUGAUGCAGAACCACUGAAUAUGACGUCAUCAUAAUGUGACCGGAUAUGCUAAAGCAGGGCUGCUCGAUUAUGGCAAAAACAAUAAUCACGAUUAUUGUGACUGAAAUUGAGAUCUCGAUUAUUUAAGACGAUUUUUCAAUUUAUGUAGAUUUUUUUUUAUUCAGUCAUAAAACUGCUCAGGGCACAAUCAGGGCAAAAAUAAACAAAAAACAAGAUGAUCACUAAAAGAACUCCUGAUUCCCAGUAUAAAAAGACCAAUAUACUCAUAGCUCAUAGUUUAUGACCCAAGGGCUGUAGACCUUGGUUUAACUCAUUUAAGUCUAACCAGUACAGACCCAAAUACCAAUAUCUUGCAAAUACUGACAGCAAGAAUUAUACAGUGGCAUUUAUAACAAAUAAAUGCAAAUAAAUUGAUGUUCACAAAAUGUUGCAUAACAUUUAUUUAGCCAUGUCAAGGUGCUGUAGGAGCGUGCACUAGCACCGUGUCCUCAGAGAGAUUAGUUAUUAGUUAUCAGCGUGAGGAACUUAUUUCUACCUUAUUUAUAAACUAUUUAUUUACAGGCCCAUCAGUUAAUGUAAUAAUUGUCCCAACCACAGCUGCACCCCCCACCCCCCAACCCGGUCUCACAGCAAUCAGGGGCAAGCUGCACGUGUGUUUAGCGCGCCGCACGCGCACAUUUAGCCGUUUUUAGCGGCUCAGGAGUCCGCAGGUACGGUGUGUGUCACUCACUCUGGUUAAUCCAACAGGGAGCCGGCUCUGAGAGCCGUUUCUUUAGCCACUGACACAUCACUACAUCAUUCCCUUUCCUAAUGUCCUGAAGAACGGUCCGGAGCGCAGGCGGAGUGUUUAGCUAACCUGCAGGAAACGUCGACGACAGUUAUCCAGAAAGUAGCUAAGGGUUACCAGAGAUGUUUCUGAGGUGUUCGCUAGGUACUUUUAAGAUUUAAAAAGUCAAGAAGGGGGUCUGAGAAGCUGUUGGAAAUAGCAUCAAAGUCGCUAAGUUGGCAACGGAGCGCUUCAUUUGUAACAGGGCAGCUCAAGUGGGAGGAGCAAAUAAUCGGCUUGUUUUAUUUUUAUAAUCGUUCAAAACAUUUCAUUCGGAAUAUAUUUCUAUGUCGAUGUUCAGAAUACGACACCUGAUAGUCUGAAAAAAAUAAUACCUAACUUGGAAAAAAUAAUACCUCUGAGACCAAAUUUAACACUUUUAAUGGCCUUAAAUUUGACUAUUUUUAUUUAUCACUUUUUAAUACUUUUUAAAACCCCGCGGACACCCUGUAAUAAAAUUGGCCCUUGCCACCUGGAGAUCAUCCACCAGGGGGCAGCAGACAUGUAUAGGCCCUGAUAUGACAGACUUAUGAUGAAGGUACUAAUCCUGAUUCUAAUCCUGGAUAGGACAGAACUGGUUUUAUGAGAAUUUGUAACAACAGUCUACAAUAGGUUUAACCCUCCCACU